rnacentral:rRNA from 1 species
GAGGAAUAUUGGACAAUGGGUGGAAGCCUGAUCCAGCCAUCCCGCGUGUAGGACGACUGCCUUAUGGGUUGUAACUUCUUUUUAUCGGGGGAUAAACUUAUUCCCGUGUAAGUACCUGAGGGUACCAGAAGAUUAACCCCCGGCUAACUCCGUGCCAGCAGCCGCGGUAAUACGGAGGGUGCAAGCGUUAUCCGGAUUUAUUGGGUUUAAAGGGUCCGUAGGCGGAUUAAUCAGUCAGUGGUGAAAUCCCGCAGCUUAACUGUGGAACUGCCAUUGAUACUGUUAGUCUUGAGUGAUGUUGAAGUGGCUGGAAUGUGUAGUGUAGCGGUGAAAUGCUUAGAUAUUACGCAGAACACCAAUUGCGAAGGCAGGUCACUAAGUAUCAACUGACGCUGAUGGACGAAAGCGUGGGUAGCAAACA